GUAACGGAGGUGCGCGAAGGUCUCCUCACCCUGAUUGGAAACCAGGGCACGAGUGUAAAGGCACAAGGAGGCUUGACUGCGAGGUAGACAUACCGAGCAGGUACGAAAGUAGGUCUUAGUGAUCUGAUGGUGCUGAGUGGAAAGGCCAUCACUUAACGGACAAAAGGUACUCCGGGGAUAACAGGCUGAUUUUCCCCGAGAGUUCACAUCGACGGGAAAGUUUGGCACCCCGAUGUCGGCUCAUCGCAUCCUGGGGCUGGAGCAGGUCCCAAGGGUUUGGCUGUUCGCCAAAUAAAGAGGUACGUGAGCUCGGUUCAGAACGUCGCGAGACAGUUCGGUACCUAUCUGUUAUGGGCGAUGGAUGUUUGAGAGGAGCUGCUUUUAGUACGAGAGGACCGAAGUGGACGAACCUCUGGUUUACCAGUUAUCCUGCCAAGGGUAAGUGCUGGGUAUCUAAGUUCGGAAGGGAUAACCGCUGAAAGCAUCUAAGCGGGAAGCCCACCCCAAGAUUAGUCAUCCCUGAGGAUUUAAUCCUCCUGAAGACUCCAGAGAGACUAUCUGGUUGAUAGGCUGCAGGUAUAAGCACAGUAAUGUGUUCAGCCGAGCAGUACUAAUCAGUCGAGAGGCUUGACCAU
rnacentral:rRNA from 1 species